CGCGUAGGUGGUAGUGCAAGUCUGGGGUGGAAUCCCAGGGCUUAACCCUGGAACUGCCUUGGAAACUGUAUUACUUGAGUCAGUGAGGGGAGGGUAGAAUUCCUGGUGUAGCGGUGAAAUGCGUAGAUAUCAGGAGGAAGGCCUGUGGCGAAGGCGGCCCUCUGGCGCUGAACUGACACUGAGGCGCGAAAGCGUGGGUAGCGAAACAGGAUUAGAUACCCUGGUAGUCCACGCCCUAAACGGUGGGUACUAGGUGUGGGGCUCGUAAGGGUUCUGUGCCGAAGCGAAAGCAUUAAGUACCCCGCCUGGGGAGUACGGCCGCAAGGUUGAA
rnacentral:rRNA from 1 species